CUACGGGCCGCUGCAGUGAGGAAUAUUGGUCAAUGGGCGCGAGCCUGAACCAGCCAUCCCGCGUGCAGGAUGACGGCCCUAUGGGUUGUAAACUGCUUUUCUAUGCCAAGAAACCUGAUUACGUGUAAUCAGUUGCCGGUAGCAUAGGAAUAAGCAUCGGCUAACUCCGUGCCAGCAGCCGCGGUAAUACGGAGGAUGCAAGCGUUAUCCGGACUCAUUGGGUUUAAAGGGUGCGCAGGUGGGCUUGUAAGUCAGUGGUGAAAUGCUGCCGCUUAACGGUAGAACUGCCAUUGAUACUGCGAGUCUUGAGUAUGGUUGAGGUAGGCGGAAUGUGUUGUGUAGCGGUGAAAUGCAUAGAUAUGACACAGAACGCCAAUUGCGAAGGCAGCUUACUAAGCCAUUACUGACGCUGAGGCACGAAAGCGUGGGGAGCGAACAGGAUUAGAUACCCCGGUAGUC
rnacentral:rRNA from 1 species